UACCCAAGUCCUACGAAGCCGCACCACUGUGAUAGUGCUGCGAAGAAGCCCGAGUGCUUAGAAGUCCACAACCGCGUGUCUGUGAAGAGGCCAGAGUGCCUACGAAGUAUUUCCUCCAAAAAGAAUAAGAACUGAACCUCCUGGUCUCCAAGUUACCAGGACCAAGAACCAUGGCCUCGUACGAAAACGAGAUGAAUUACGAACACCCCUACGAACACCCUUCCGCGGGCGAAAACCGAAACCUCGCAGAAGACAACGCUGAACUCUGUAGCUUCCUCCAGCAGCAAUCCCUGCAGAUGGCGGAGCUCCAGCGACAACUGAAUAACCUGAAUACGAAUACACCAAGAACCACGCAAGCACCAACACCCCUUAUGUACGAAAGAAGAGAACGCCUCCCUCUCCUCGACAAAUUCGCGGGAGAACUCUCGACCUACUUAGCCUGGAAAUGGAAGGCGAAAGCCAAGCUUGAAGAAGAUGGGUCUGUGAUAGGCUCUCUGCUCUCGCAAGCUCGCUAUGUUCAUAGUCGGCUAGAAGGAGAUGCUCUAGCCAAGUUCCAACCUUGGAUCGAGUCGUGCGCGCACGAGAUGUGCACCCCUGAAGAAGUCUUCCGCCAACUAGAUGUCCUGUUCUUGGACCCUACACUCCAAGCGCGCGCGAUGCAAUGGUUGAACAGGAACCGCCAGAGGAACACACCACUG
rnacentral:sRNA from 1 species